rnacentral:lncRNA from 1 species
AUCCUCUGAUUUUAAGAAGCACCUAACAACAGCUACUACCCCAUUCAUGAUGCAAAUGUAAGAAUGCGACCAUAAUCAUGAUAAUCUGCAACAUUUUACAUCAAGUUAGACUGCAUCAAAGACAACCUGUUGGAAGUUUCUAGUCUUCUCAACACAUUUCCAAGCAUGGAUAUGAUUAGCCAGUUUAACAAGGAGGCUCCAUACAAGCAUAUAUCAUGACAUGGAAAGCACAUCAUAGAUUUCUUCCACAAUGAACAUAAUAAUACCAUUCCUUAAGUUACUCUUUCCGUGCCUCUAUAACCAGC